rnacentral:rRNA from 1 species
GACGAACGCUGGCGGCGUGCUUAACACAUGCAAGUCGAACGGAAAGGCCCUGCUUUUGUGGGGUGCUCGAGUGGCGAACGGGUGAGUAACACGUGAGUAACCUGCCCUUGACUUUGGGAUAACUUCAGGAAACUGGGGCUAAUACCGGAUAGGAGCUCCUGCUGCAUGGUGGGGGUUGGAAAGUUUCGGCGGUUGGGGAUGGACUCGCGGCUUAUCAGCUUGUUGGUGGGGUAGUGGCUUACCAAGGCUUUGACGGGUAGCCGGCCUGAGAGGGUGACCGGCCACAUUGGGACUGAGGUACGGCCCAGACGGCUACGGGAGGCAGCAGUGGGGAAUAGUGCACGAUGGGCGGAGUCCGGAUGCAGCAACGCCGCGUGCGAGAUGACGGCCUUCGGGUUGUAAACCGCUUUCGCCUGUGACGAAGCGUGAGUGACGGUAAUGGGUAAAGAAGCACCGGCUAACUACGUG